AUCGCUUCUUAGCCUUUUGGCUAAGAUCAAGUGUAAAAAGUUAUAUUAUAUGUGUGUUUGUGUUCUGCCUGCAAGUAUGUCUGCGUGAGUGUGUCAAAUCUUGGAGUUAUAGACAAUUGUGAGCUUUCAUUUGGUUUCUGGGAAUUGAACUCAGGUCCUCUAGAAGACCAGUCAGUGC
ensembl:snRNA U2 U2 spliceosomal RNA